CCUACGGGAGGCAGCAGUGGGGAAUAUUGGGCAAUGGGCGCAAGCCUGACCCAGCAACGCCGCGUGAAGGAAGAAGGCUUUCGGGUUGUAAACUUCUUUUCUCAGGGACGAAGCAAGUGACGGUACCUGAGGAAUAAGCCACGGCUAACUACGUGCCAGCAGCCGCGGUAAUACGUAGGGGGCGAGCGUUAACCGGAUUUACUGGGAGUAAAGGGCGUGUAGGCGGGGACGCAAGUCAGAUGUGAAAACCACGGGCUCAACCUGUGGCCUGCAUUUGAAACUGUGUUUCUUGAGUACUGGAGAGGCAGACGGAAUUCCUGGUGUAGCAGUGAAAUGCGUAGAUAUUAGGAGGAACACCAGUGGCGAAGGCGGUCUGCUGGACAGUAACUGACGCUGAGGCGCGAAAGCGUGGGGAGCAAACAGGAUUAGAUACCCGGGUAGUC
rnacentral:rRNA from 1 species